rnacentral:tRNA from 1 species
GGGCCCGUAGCUCAGCCAGAUCCUUGUCCGAGGAUCCUGAAUAGGUAGAGCACCGGUAGGACAUUGUCCUGUCCUGGUGCGGCUUUUACCCUCUUGGGGCGACACCCGGGAGUCACGGGUUCAAAUCCCGCCGGGCCCG